UAGGGAAUCUUCGGCAAUGGACGAAAGUCUGACCGAGCAACGCCGCGUGAGUGAAGAAGGUUUUCGGAUCGUAAAACUCUGUUCUUAGAGAAGAACAAGGACGUUAGUAACUGAACGUCCCCUGACGGUAUCUAACCAGAAAGCCACGGCUAACUACGUGCCAGCAGCCGCGGUAAUACGUAGGUGGCAAGCGUUGUCCGGAUUUAUUGGGCGUAAAGCGAGCGCAGGCGGUUUCUUAAGUCUGAUGUGAAAGCCCCCGGCUCAACCGGGGAGGGUCAUUGGAAACUGGGAGACUUGAGUGCAGAAGAGGAGAGUGGAAUUCCAUGUGUAGCGGUGAAAUGCGUAGAUAUAUGGAGGAACACCAGUGGCGAAGGCGGCUCUCUGGUCUGUAACUGACGCUGAGGCUCGAAAGCGUGGGGAGCAAACAGG
rnacentral:rRNA from 1 species